GAUGAACGCUGGCGGCGUGCCUAAUACAUGCAAGUCGAGCGAACAGACGAGGAGCUUGCUCCUCUGACGUUAGCGGCGGACGGGUGAGUAACACGUGGAUAACCUACCUAUAAGACUGGGAUAACUUCGGGAAACCGGAGCUAAUACCGGAUAACAUAUUGAACCGCAUGGUUUAAUAGUGAAAGACGGUUUUGCUGUCACUUAUAGAUGGAUCCGCGCCGCAUUAGCUAGUUGGUAAGGUAACGGCUUACCAAGGCAACGAUGCGUAGCCGACCUGAGAGGGUGAUCGGCCACACUGGAACUGAGACACGGUCCAGACUCCUACGGGAGGCAGCAGUAGGGAAUCUUCCGCAAUGGGCGAAAGCCUGACGGAGCAACGCCGCGUGAGUGAUGAAGGUCUUCGGAUCGUAAAACUCUGUUAUUAGGGAAGAACAAAUGUGUAAGUAACUAUGCACGUCUUGACGGUACCUAAUCAGAAAGCCACGGCUAACUACGUG
rnacentral:rRNA from 1 species